GCCCUGUGGUAACUGGUCCUGGCAUUCCCAUACAGUGCACUGGUUCUGUAGUAGGGCAGAAAGAAAUGCUGUGAUGAUUUGCAUGGGGACUGCCUUUAUUCAGUAGUACCCAUAGCCCGGUUGCAGUAACAUAU